UCUCAACACGGGAAAACUCACUAGUUUAAGACAAGAGUAGGAUUGACAGAUUAAUAGCUCUUUCUUGAUUUCUUGGAUGGUGAUGCAUGGCCGUUUUUAGUUCGUGAAUAUGAUUUGUCUGGUUAAUUCCGAUAACGAACGAGAUCUUAACCUGCUAAUUAGCAGUAAGUACAACAUAUUUCUAUGCUGAAUUUGUAUUUGGAUAAUUUAAAAGGUUCUUUUGCCGUGCAUAUAAUGAGUACGGAAAAAAUGCAUACUGC
rnacentral:rRNA from 1 species